GUAUGCGUAGCUCAGCUGGCUAGAGUAGUGGUUUGUGGUGCCAUUGGUCGUGGGUUCGAAUCCCAUCGCGUACC
rnacentral:tRNA from 1 species